rnacentral:rRNA from 1 species
UACGAAGGGGGCUAGCGUUGUUCGGAAUUACUGGGCGUAAAGCGCGCGUAGGCGGUGAUCUUUGUCAGAGGUGAAAGCCUGGGGCUCAACCCCAGAAUUGCCUUUGAAACGGGAUCGCUAGAGUCCGAGAGAGGAUGGCGGAAUUCCUAGUGUAGAGGUGAAAUUCGUAGAUAUUAGGAAGAACACCGGUGGCGAAGGCGGCCAUCUGGCUCGGUACUGACGCUCAGGCGCGAAAGCGUGGGGAGCAAACAGGG